AGUCGAGCGGAACGAGUUAACUGAACCUUCGGGGGACGUUAACGGCGUCGAGCGGCGGACGGGUGAGUAAUGCCUAGGAAAUUGCCCUGAUGUGGGGGAUAACCAUUGGAAACGAUGGCUAAUACCGCAUGAUGCCUACGGGCCAAAGAGGGGGACCUUCGGGCCUCUCGCGUCAGGAUAUGCCUAGGUGGGAUUAGCUAGUUGGUGAGGUAAGGGCUCACCAAGGCGACGAUCCCUAGCUGGUCUGAGAGGAUGAUCAGCCACACUGGAACUGAGACACGGUCCAGACUCCUACGGGAGGCAGCAGUGGGGAAUAUUGCACAAUGGGCGCAAGCCUGAUGCAGCCAUGCCGCGUGUGUGAAGAAGGCCUUCGGGUUGUAAAGCACUUUCAGUCGUGAGGAAGGUAGUGUGUUUAAUAGAUGCAUUAUUUGACGUUAGCGACAGAAGAAGCACCGGCUAACUCCGUGCCAGCAGCCGCGGUAAUACGGAGGGUGCGAGCGUUAAUCGGAAUUACUGGGCGUAAAGCGCAUGCAGGUGGUUUGUUAAGUCAGAUGUGAAAGCCCGGGGCUCAACCUCGGAAUAGCAUUUGAAACUGGCAGACUAGAGUACUGUAGAGGGGGGUAGAAUUUCAGGUGUAGCGGUGAAAUGCGUAGAGAUCUGAAGGAAUACCGGUGGCGAAGGCGGCCCCCUGGACAGAUACUGACACUCAGAUGCGAAAGCGUGGGGAGCAAACAGGAUUAGAUACCCUGGUAGUCCACGCCGUAAACGAUGUCUACUUGGAGGUUGUGGCCUUGAGCCGUGGCUUUCGGAGCUAACGCGUUAAGUAGACCGCCUGGGGAGUACGGUCGCAAGAUUAAAACUCAAAUGAAUUGACGGGGGCCCGCACAAGCGGUGGAGCAUGUGGUUUAAUUCGAUGCAACGCGAAGAACCUUACCUACUCUUGACAUCCAGAGAACUUUUCAGAGAUGAAUUGGUGCCUUCGGGAACUCUGAGACAGGUGCUGCAUGGCUGUCGUCAGCUCGUGUUGUGAAAUGUUGGGUUAAGUCCCGCAACGAGCGCAACCCUUAUCCUUGUUUGCCAGCGAGUAAUGUCGGGAACUCCAGGGAGACUGCCGGUGAUAAACCGGAGGAAGGUGGGGACGACGUCAAGUCAUCAUGGCCCUUACGAGUAGGGCUACACACGUGCUACAAUGGCGCAUACAGAGGGCGGCCAACUUGCGAAAGUGAGCGAAUCCCAAAAAGUGCGUCGUAGUCCGGAUUGGAGUCUGCAACUCGACUCCAUGAAGUCGGAAUCGCUAGUAAUCGUGGAUCAGAAUGCCACGGUGAAUACGUUCCCGGGCCUUGUACACACCGCCCGUCACACCAUGGGAGUGGGCUGCAAAAGAAGUAGGUAGUUUAACCUUCGGGGGGACGC
rnacentral:rRNA from 1 species